UGCAGCAAGCUAGCUGUCAUCAAAAGGAACACAGAAGAGACCGUCCCUGGCACCAAUUGUCCAUGUGCUUCCUGACAUUUCCCAGUCUCCCUUGCAGUUAGAUGCGCAGUUAGCUGAAGCUCAAUGAUAAGAAUGUGAAUGGGAGUCUGAUCUGAAGCAGCUAAGAACAGAUGCAAAUUCUCCACUGACGCCUUGGCUGGAAGUGAAGAACUCUGAAAUGGAGUCAUUGGAAAACUGAAGCAGCUGGAUUCCUGAGACAUCACUGGAGAACCACCAAACCACUAAUACCUGACCUGCAUCAGAUUAUGAUGUGAGCAAGUAGAAAAUCUUGUUCACUCAGUGGUGUUAUAUUAAGCUACUGAGAUUCUGGGGUUUGUGUUUCUGACCUAGGAAAUUGCUUUCUGGAAAUUAUAAAAUCUAAGAUUUUCCGUUUAAGCCCCUCUAAACUUUCUACUUUGAAAGACAUAUUAGAAAAUAUAUAUAUUAUAUAUAUUAUAUACACACAUAUAUACUUUGACUUUGACUCUGUAUUACCAAGUAACAGGUAAGCAUUCCAUAGCAUAAUCAACUCUAGAAUAGGUACUAUAAUGAACCACAAGUCAACCAAAUGAGGAAAUGGACUUACAGUGUUCAAAGGACAAGAGCAUGAGACUGACAAAGAUUCUCUGCUUGGCCAAACUCCUGAACCUUUCCUAGGGUCAUCUAUGUACUUCUUUGUAAAAUUCAGUAUGAGCAAAGAACCCUGUCAGUUUUGAAAGAAUCCUUCCCCCAACCUCAAUAUCUGAUCAUCCUCAGUGUUUAAUCAGCCUUCUUAUCCUCUGUCAUCCUCCAGGUGAUGUCUAUUCACCUUGACUUGUCUUCAACAAGAAUCCUGUUAGUUUAGUUUAACCGGAAUUAUUCUUACCCCUGAUGUUUCCUCUUUGUAAUUUUCCAUCACUAACCCCUACCCUACUCCUUGGCUAUAAAUUCCUACUUUGCCCAAGCUGUAAUCAGAUUCUAGUCCAAUCUCUCUCCCCAACUGCAAAAUCCCAUUGCAGUGGUCUCGAUAUCUACCAUGAAAGUCCUGAAUGAAAUCUGCCUUACUACGCUAAAAAAAGAAAAAAAAGCAUCAUCAGCUCUUUUUGUUCUUAAUAAAAUUCUUAGUGGGAAAACUGUGUGUUCAGAAUGUUGCAACUGGAUCACCCAGUUUGUGGUACGAGGACAUUACAAAUAUUUUCCUUGCAUGAGACAACUAGUCUAAAUGGCCACUUGUUUUUUCCCUUUCCCCCUCAGCUCCUCUUAUCCUCUACUCUAGCCUUCAUUUUUCUAUUCAACAUUAUAGACUGUCAUGUUGCAUUCAAAUGGAUAUGUUGAUUAUUUACUCAAAUGAAUAUAGUGGUAGUAAAACAGGCAAAGAAGCAGCAGAGCCUUAGUAAAAUGUUUUCCUUUGACUAUAAUCCUGUCCUGGACUGUUCACACAAUAAGUCACUGCAGCUGUGGUGUUAAGUACAGAUUCACACAAUGUGGAGUCAAG
rnacentral:lncRNA from 10 species